UGAGGAAUAUUGGUCAAUGGGCGAGAGCCUGAACCAGCCAAGUCGCGUGAGGGAAGACGGCCCUACGGGUUGUAAACCUCUUUUGUCAGGGAGCAAGAACAGAUACGUGUAUCUGAGCGAGAGUACCUGAAGAAAAAGCAUCGGCUAACUCCGUGCCAGCAGCCGCGGUAAUACGGAGGAUGCGAGCGUUAUCCGGAUUUAUUGGGUUUAAAGGGUGCGUAGGCGGGCUGCCAAGUCAGCGGUAAAAUUGCGGGGCUCAACCCCGUCGAGCCGUUGAAACUGGCGGUCUUGAGUGGGCGAGAAGUAUGCGGAAUGCGUGGUGUAGCGGUGAAAUGCAUAGAUAUCACGCAGAACUCCGAUUGCGAAGGCAGCAUACCGGCGCCCGACUGACGCUGAAGCA
rnacentral:rRNA from 1 species